rnacentral:misc_RNA from 1 species
CGAAGGGGAAGGGGAAGGCCAUCAAGGGAUCCAGGGCGUCCGUGAUUCAAGAGGGCAUGAGUAUGCAAACCGUGAGCGAGUGGACCACCUGGGCGAUGAAGAAGGCGAAGGUGAUCACCCACUACGGCUUUAUCCCCCUCGUUAUCCUCAUCGGUAUGAAUUCGGAGCCCAAGCCUCACAUUUCUCAGCUUCUCAGCCCCGUCUAGGGUUUGAUGAUCUUGAAUUGAGAUCUUUGUUAGGGUUUGUCGAACUUGGCUUG